rnacentral:rRNA from 1 species
ACGCUCGACACCUACGGAGGCAGCAGUGAGGGAUAUUGGUCAAUGGGGGGAAACCCUGAACCAGCAACGCCGCGUGAGGGAUGACGGCCUUGGUUGUAACCUCUGUCCUCUGUGAAGAUAAUGACGGUAGCAGAGGAGGAAGCUCCGGCUAACUACGUGCCAACAGCCGCGGUAAUCUGAGCGGGCGUGGCAAGGC